rnacentral:rRNA from 1 species
AUUAGAUACCCCACUAUGCCUAGGCAUAAAACCUUAUCCGCCAGAAAAUUACGAGCAAAAGCUUAAAACUCAAAAGACUUGACGGUGUCCCACCUACCUAGAGGAGCCUGUUCCAUAAUCGAUAAUCCACGAUAAACCCGACCACCCAUUGAAAAAUCAGCCUAUAUACCGCCGUCGACAGCCAACCUUCUAAAAGAACCAGAGCCGGCCAAAUAGGAACACCCCCUAAAAAGUCAGGUCAAGGUGUAGCUAAUGGGGUGGAGACAAUGGGCUACAUUUUUUUCCAAAAAAUAUACGGACUAAUCUUUGAAAACAAGAUUAUAAAGGUGGAUUUAGCAGUAAGUCAAUAAAGAAUAAUUAACUUAACCAAGCCCUGGGACACGUACACACCGCCCGUCACCCU